CAGGCUUAACACAUGCAAGUCGAGGGGCAGCAUGGUCUUAGCUUGCUAAGGCCGAUGGCGACCGGCGCACGGGUGAGUAACACGUAUCCAACCUGCCGUCUACUCUUGGACAGCCUUCUGAAAGGAAGAUUAAUACAAGAUGGCAUCAUGAGUCCGCAUGUUCACAUGAUUAAAGGUAUUCCGGUAGACGAUGGGGAUGCGUUCCAUUAGAUAGUAGGCGGGGUAACGGCCCACCUAGUCUUCGAUGGAUAGGGGUUCUGAGAGGAAGGUCCCCCACAUUGGAACUGAGACACGGUCCAAACUCCUACGGGAGGCAGCAGUGAGGAAUAUUGGUCAAUGGGCGAGAGCCUGAACCAGCCAAGUAGCGUGAAGGAUGACUGCCCUAUGGGUUGUAAACUUCUUUUAUAAAGGAAUAAAGUCGGGUAUGGAUACCCGUUUGCAUGUACUUUAUGAAUAAGGAUCGGCUAACUCCGUGCCAGCAGCCGCGGUAAUACGGAGGAUCCGAGCGUUAUCCGGAUUUAUUGGGUUUAAAGGGAGCGUAGAUGGAUGUUUAAGUCAGUUGUGAAAGUUUGCGGCUCAACCGUAAAAUUGCAGUUGAUACUGGAUAUCUUGAGUGCAGUUGAGGCAGGCGGAAUUCGUGGUGUAGCGGUGAAAUGCUUAGAUAUCACGAAGAACUCCGAUUGCGAAGGCGGCCUGCUAAGCUGCAACUGACAUUGAGGCUCGAAAGUGUGGGUAUCAAACAGGAUUAGAUACCCUGGUAGUCCACACGGUAAACGAUGAAUACUCGCUGUUUGCGAUAUACUGCAAGCGGCCAAGCGAAAGCGUUAAGUAUUCCACCUGGGGAGUACGCCGGCAACGGUGAAACUCAAAGGAAUUGACGGGGGCCCGCACAAGCGGAGGAACAUGUGGUUUAAUUCGAUGAUACGCGAGGAACCUUACCCGGGCUUAAAUUGCAGAUGAAUUACGGUGAAAGCCGUAAGCCGCAAGGCAUCUGUGAAGGUGCUGCAUGGUUGUCGUCAGCUCGUGCCGUGAGGUGUCGGCUUAAGUGCCAUAACGAGCGCAACCCUUGUUGUCAGUUACUAACAGGUUCCGCUGAGGACUCUGACAAGACUGCCAUCGUAAGAUGUGAGGAAGGUGGGGAUGACGUCAAAUCAGCACGGCCCUUACGUCCGGGGCUACACACGUGUUACAAUGGGGGGUACAGAGGGCCGCUACCACGCGAGUGGAUGCCAAUCCCCAAAACCUCUCUCAGUUCGGACUGGAGUCUGCAACCCGACUCCACGAAGCUGGAUUCGCUAGUAAUCGCGCAUCAGCCACGGCGCGGUGAAUACGUUCCCGGGCCUUGUACACACCGCCCGUCAAGCCAUGGGAGCCGGGGGUACCUGAAGUGCGUAACCGCGAGGAGCGCCCUAGGGUAAAACUGGUGACUGGG
rnacentral:rRNA from 1 species